rnacentral:rRNA from 1 species
GACGAACGCUGGCGGCGUGCUUAACACAUGCAAGUCGAACGGAAAGGCCCUGCUUUUGUGGGGUGCUCAAGUGGCGAACGGGUGAGUAACACGUGAGUAACCUGCCCUUGACUUUGGGAUAACUUCAGGAAACUGGGGCUAAUACCGGAUAGGAGCUCCUGCUGCAUGGUGGGGGUUGGAAAGUUUCGGCGGUUGGGGAUGGACUCGCGGCUUAUCAGCUUGUUGGUGGGGUAGUGGCUUACCAAGGCUUUGACGGGUAGCCGGCCUGAGAGGGUGACCGGCCACAUUGGUACUGAGAUACGGCCCAGACUCCUACGGUAGGCAGCAGUGGGGAAUAUUGCACAAUGGGCGGAAGCCUGAUGCAGCAACGCCGCGUGCGUGAUGACGGCCUUCGGGUUGUAAACCGCUUUCGCCUGUGACGAAGCGUGAGUGACGGUAAUGGGUAAAGAAGCACCGGCUAACUACGUG